AACGAACGCUGGCGGCAGGCCUAACACAUGCAAGUCGAGCGGACCCUUCGGGGUUAGCGGCGGACGGGUGAGUAACGCGUGGGAAUAUGCCCUUCUCUACGGAAUAGUCCUGGGAAACUGGGGGUAAUACCGUAUACGCCCUUUGGGGGAAAGAUUUAUCGGGGAAGGAUUAGCCCGCGUUGGAUUAGGUAGUUGGUGGGGUAAUGGCCUACCAAGCCGACGAUCCAUAGCUGGUUUGAGAGGAUGAUCAGCCACACUGGGACUGAGACACGGCCCAGACUCCUACGGGAGGCAGCAGUGGGGAAUCGUAGACAAUGGGGGCAAUCCUGAUCUAGCCAUGCCGCGUGAGUGAUGAAGGCCUUAGGGUUGUAAAGCUCUUUCAGCUGGGAAGAUAAUGACGGUACCAGCAGAAGAAGCCCCGGCUAACUCCGUG
rnacentral:rRNA from 1 species